UACGUAGGGUGCAAGCGUUAAUCGGAAUUACUGGGCGUAAAGCGUGCGCAGGCGGUCUGUUAAGACCGAUGUGAAAUCCCCGGGCUUAACCUGGGAACUGCAUUGGUGACUGGCAGGCUUUGAGUGUGGCAGAGGGGGGUGGAAUUCCACGUGUAGCAGUGAAAUGCGUAGAGAUGUGGAGGAACACCGAUGGCGAAGGCAGCCCCCUGGGCUAACACUGACGCUCAUGCACGAAAGCGUGGGGAGCAAACAGG
rnacentral:rRNA from 1 species